GCCUCAGUGGUCGAGCUGGUUAAGACACUCUUCCCGGAAAGUUGAGAGGUCCCAGGUUCGAAUCCUGGCUGAGGUA
rfam:Trachymyrmex cornetzi contig48254, whole genome shotgun sequence.